rnacentral:lncRNA from 1 species
UUUAAAGAUUUAUCUAUGUCUUACUCCAAACGAGAGUGCUCCGAUAACAACGGAGGUAAAAACUAGAACAGAACGAUUCAAAAACGAAAGUAGAAAUUUCCAAGGCAACUUGUCAACAAUCAGCUAUUUAUCAACCCGAUAAAUAUCAGUACUGUAGAAUAAAGACGAAUACUUUGUUUGGGAAGACAGAAGAAUUGUUUGAAAG